rnacentral:tRNA from 1 species
GGCUGGGUAGCUCAGUCGGUAGAGCGUGGGACUCAUAAGCCCGAGGUCGUGGGUUCAAUCCCCACCCCAGCCACCA